AGCAAAAUCCUUCUUAGUAGCCAUUGGAAGGAAGAUAUGCAAGCAUCAUUUACAGUUCAACGUUCUUAAGAAGUAAAUUCCUUAUCUGAUUGGGGUGGAUAGGUGUUAAGUAAAAGAAUAUAUCCAGUCGUCUUGGGGCUUGUAUCUUCAGGGGAUUGUUGAUGUCAUGACAAUGGUUUGUUCACUGCUCUGAUGGAGGUGUCAUAAUGGCACAUCUAUAAGAAUCAUUGUUACCAUCAACCGGCUGCUGUUGAAAGAGGGUGCUAGCCCUUUAUUCUGCCGCAAUACAUCAGGCUUAUUGUUGGGAAGGUUGCUAGGUACGAAGUGGGUGUCAGAAGUUUGGUCACGGUAUGUGAUAACAAUGACAUUGUGGGGCACACGUGAGUGGUUGCGUCUUUGUUAAGGUCCUUAUAUAGUGCGUUAAUUGUGCAUGACAAUGGGGAACAUGACACGCUUUUUUCUCUUUUUUCUAAGUCGGGUUUGAUUUCAACUCGAACUUCCAAUGAAUAAAUCCCUAGUGGAUGGUGGGUGGUGGAUUUAUCUCCAUCUUGGUCCUUAUGAAUAUAAAUGACAUAUUUGCAUUAUUAAGACUUGUUUUCUUUA